UACGUAGGGAGCAAGCGUUGUUCGGAAUCACUGGGCGUAAAGGGAGCGUAGGCGGGGGGAUAAGUUAGAAGUUAAAUAUGCAGGCUUAACCUGUAAUCUGCUUUUAAUACUGUCCUUCUUGAAUAUGGGAGAGGGUAACGGAAUUCCAGGUGUAGCGGUGGAAUGCGUAGAUAUCUGGAAGAACACCAGUUGCGAAGGCGGUUACCUGGCCCAAUAUUGACGCUGAGGCUCGAAAGCUAGGGGAGCAAACAGG
rnacentral:rRNA from 1 species